rnacentral:misc_RNA from 1 species
CCCAAAUACCAGUGGAAACAUUCGCACGGGACGACCUCGACGGGCCGUCGAUGGACCAGACUCCACUUCUGACAUUCGACAUAUUCGACCUAUAGUGACGGGCGCUUCGACGCUUAAAUAGGACUCUCUGCAAGUCUGCCGAGGAAAACGGGUAUGGCGGAAAACAAGGACCCCGAGAAAGGCAGCAUGGUCGGGAGCAUCAGGAUGCUGGUCGUCAUAACGACCAGCAUUCUGGUGGUAGUGGCUGCCGCCAAAAACUCCCUGACAUGGCUCCUAGAUGAGCUACUGCAAGCGAGCGGUUGCUUCUGGACCAGACAGUACGAGUGCGUCUACAACCUCUUUGGCGGAGACGAGUUCUUGAUCGCUUCUCUAGGGACACUCUUGGUGUCGAUAGUGGUUUACUGGAUUCUUGUGUCCGGACUCCUGUUUGUUGAUGCCACUGGGAAGCCAUCUUGGAUUCACAAAUACAAGAUACAACAGGACAAGAACAUACCGGUGGAUCCGGCUCUGCUCAGGCAAGCGGUGACGGGGACCCUAUUCAAUCAGUUUGUGGUUGGGCUCCCCUUUGCUCUCGGGUACGCCUGGUUGGCUGAAAUGCGCGGGUGUAGCGCCUCCACCCGCUUGCCUGACUUCCACACCGUGCUCCUGGAGAUGCUGGUGUUCUUGGCAGCGGAGGAAAUCGGUUUCUAUUACUCCCAUCGGUUGUUUCACCACGGCUUCUUUUACAAGCGAAUCCACAAGCGCCACCACGAGUACACCGCGCCGUUCGCCGUGUCCAACUUCGACGUGCACCCGGUGGAGCACGUGGUGGCCAACCUGGCCCCCAUGGCCGCUGGGCCGCUGAUCGCCGGUUCGCACGUGGCCGUCCUGUGGCUGUGGCUAGCCAUUGGGACCUUCUCCAGCCUGCUGGCCCACUCCGGCUAUCACCUGCCGUUCUUCCCGUCAACUCAGGCUCACGACUUCCACCAUCUCAAAUCUGUCAGUAACUUCGGAGCUCUGGGCAUUCUCGACCGACUGCACGGCACGGACGCUGCCUUCAGACGGUCAGAGAAUUUUCAGCGGCACGUGUUGUUGACGGGAUUGACGCCUGCGUCUCAGCUGGGCCCAGCGAAGGGCAAGUAGGCGAAACACUUCAUGCGACUCCAAUGCAAAAAUGCACGCGUCAUGCGCAGUAAUAAUGCAAAAUUUUAUGUGUGAUGCAUAACAUUCGAAUUUAGUGACUUACACUGAGGUUGUGUGUAAUGUCGCCUUUGAUAUUGCCGCAACCUAGAGAAAGCAUCUCGUUGUAGGAUCAUUUGACCAACCGAUCACGCUCUACACCGAGUCACUUGGACAGCUAUUGUAUACAAAAUAUCUGGCCCAUGAGAAUUAUUUUCUGGCACAGCUGGAACACAAUUAGAUAACGCUUCCGCCAACUAGUAAUGUCUUUUGUUGUGCAGUUUGCUUUGAUUUCCAGUCGUUUUCUGCCCUUGCAAUUGGCACAACCGCAGCUCAUGAUGAAAAAGAACGUGUAAGCGCCUCUUCACACUUUACCAUUUUCUAGAGUUUCUGUGUGCUUGCUCUAGAUUUAGUUUCCGCUGGGGUGAAAUCUCUCUUCUUCUAACCUGUUGGGUAUUACCGUAAUUUUGUGCAGACAAAAAAAUGGGUGCAAGUGUGUACGGACCUUAAAAAAGAAUGCAUGCAGGUGGCUCCAAUAUUUGUUGCCUCACGUUAUAUUAAUCGGCGUGAUGUACUCAAAGUAGACUCCACUGAAUGUACUUAAUUAAACAAGCUUUGUACAUAAUGGGCAUAAAAUGGCAUUUCGGUGUCUCUUUGGAAUACUUGUAGACAAGCUGAAUGAACUCUCGAUCGUUUCUCUUUGGUAAAUUUGUUCAUGUCUGUGCAACAGUGUGCUUCAAGGUGAUGAGGGUUUCCAUUUAUAAUUGAUAUAAAAUUUGUUUAUAUAUUAUAUAACACAUCACAAUAUAACAAUAUAUCCUACAAGAAUAUUAUCACAAAUUAAGUAAAACGUAAAUUGAUACUUUAUUCAUAGAUACUUUGUAACUGUUGGACAGUUUAACUAUUCCUAUUGGUCGACAGCCUGUCACGUGACCAGUCUUAAUGAAGAAGGUGGAAACAUGCCGCAGAAAUGCAUUUGACAACGUGGUAAGGUUUCAUGCCGAAACAGUUGGACAAAGACAGAAAGGAAAACGAAUCUUCCCAUGUUUUUGUGUUUUUUUGUAUAUUUUUUAUUUCCUCUAGACCAGCUACAUCGUCUCAGUUUUCUU